UCUGAUCUAGUCUCCCUCCCUUCCCCCUCUUUCUCUCCAAUUUAUGGGUUGAUUUGCUCCGGUUUUCUAGUUCUCUGGGAUACCCUGAUUGCUUAUUUGAGAUCAGGAUGAACCAGAGAGUAUACAAAAAUGAUUUAUCACCUCCCCAAGUCUCUACCCAGAGUAAAGACAGGUCCAGACACUUCGGCCACAGCUCCCACCCUGUAUCUAAGCUCUAAUGGUUUUUUCCUUUCUCUGGGCAGAAUCACCACAGAGCAACCAGCUCCAGACUCCUAAACCACAAAUAUACAGCUCUUUAAAUGAAUGUGCACCACGGAUACUAAGAUCAUCUCUACUGGAGUGCCCAGGACGCACGCCUGGACUAAGGCAAUGGAGGAAAGUUGCAGAAAAAAAAAGACGUUAUUAAAAACUUAGGAAAACACUGACAGAGCCAAGGAAAGAAGAGUGGCCACACUGACUACUACCUCCCUAGAAGCCCCAAACCCCAAGUAACAGAGGCUCCACUUAAUGAAACUUACUUGCAUUCUCCACCAGUAUCUUGGGCAUGCGCUGGCGGUUCAUGAGGAGUGGGAAAGGAUCUCUUCCGUUGUUCCGCUCAUGGACCUCUCGGAUCUCCACUGUGUCAUCCAUGAGGUAGUAGUGAAUGAUGUAGUGUCGGCACUCCCCAAACAAGCUAUCCGUGUCGUCCCAGAUGGCAUAGAAUCGAAGAACCUUUGAGGAGGCCAAAGUGAUGCUUUAAGAUUCUAAAACAGAAGUCUUAACUUCGCUAUGACAAGUGUCUAUCAGUAAUAAAAAGUAGCUGAAACACUUUCAGACAGUAUAUCAAAAAAACCUAACAAACAAACAAACAAAAAAAACAAAACAAACAAAACAAAACCAAGGAUAGGAAAAUAUCCAAAAUCAUGUACUACAUAUUAACAUACCAAAAGAAUAGCACAAGCUUUCUCAGUUUGUGCCAAGACAGGAGAGCUUACUUUGGCCCCAAAUAUUAGUCUGGGAAAGAGAAGCUGAAUAAAAAGAAAAGGGGAGGCUUGCCUAUAAAGGUAAUUUAUGCAUAGUAACAAAGAUACAUGGUGAAUUGUGUGUAUAGAACUGGUAUGGAAAGAAUUUUCAUUAAUAAGCCUAUCAUUCUUUUGGGACUACCAAAACACAUCUACUACAGGAUGGACAGAAUCUUCUAAUUUAAGGUAACGGCAGAAAGCCAGGUGGGGUGGUACGCACCUGUAAUCUCAGUACGUGGGAUGCAGAGGCAGAAAAAACAUGAGUUCCAGCCCAACCUGGGGUGGACAGCAAGUUUGAGGCCAACUUGCCUAUUUAGAGACACUUUGUAUUCUGGAAGCAGAAUUCCCAGGAUUUCUGGGACUUUGAAGCACCUCUGCCCCCCAUAGCAAGCUCUGAGCCAACCAGAGCUACAUAGUGAGACUCUGACUCAAUAAAAGAAGCCAAAAGUAAACAAAUGAACAAACAAGAUCUCAAUCCUAAACCUAUGGUAACACUGGGUAGAACGUUCUGAAGAAAAAGAAGUUAAGAUUGCAGGAAAUUAAGGCAAAAAUUUCAGAGUAAUCCCUAUUAUUUUUCCUCUUUAUUGGUGAAUGAAGAUUCAGCUCUACUUCCCCACUGUAGUUCACAGGGGGUGGGGCUGCCAAUCCGGGCAGAGUGAGAAAACACGUUCAGAGCAUUCUGCACUCUAACACUGAUGCAGUAUUCAGCAGGGAUGCAUUUCAGAUGGGGUUCCUGGGAAAUCAAGGAGCAUAAUUAUUUGAAUUAACAACUUUAUUUCAUUUUAAGAGCUAUUCAGUACCAGAACAUGUAACAGUGUUAAACUUUCCCCCCAGUUCUCCUAAGCCUGCCCAGAGGAUUCUGUGAGAUUAACUCAUCGGGGGUGUAGUGUGCCAGUUGACUUUUAUGUCAGCUUGACACAAGCUAGAGUCAUCAGAGACGAGGGAGCCUCAACAGAGAAAAUGUCUCCAAAAGAGCUGAAUGUUGGCAAGCCGGUAGAACAUCUUCUUAAUGAGUGAUGCCCAGUACACUGUGGAUAGUGCCACCCUUGCGCUGGUGGUCCUGGGGUCUAUAAGAAAGCAGGUUGACAAGCCAUGAGGAACGAAGCCAGUAAACCGCACCCCUCCAUGGCUUGUGUCAGCUCCAGACUCCAGGUUCCUACCCAGUUUAGUUCCUGUCCUGACUUCCUUCAGUGAUAAACAGUGAUGUGGGAGUGUAAGCUGAAUAAACCCUUCCUUCUCCA